GUCUCGUAGGGCUGCCUUCCACAUCUGCAACUCCAUGGCUCCAUUCAAUCUAUCAGCAUGUUCAGCCAAUGCUAUGCCAAAACUAUCUCUUUGAUGGCGUACAUCCGAUGGAUCUAUAUGGUAAAAUACAGGUGCGGAUUCCCUUUUGAUACAAAGCAUUGUACAGAUGGGAAAUAAAAUUAUAUCGAGUAUCUUUUCCUCUAAAGCUCAAGAACACAUCAUAGAGACAUGGAGAGGUAUAAGAAGAAGAGGAUGAAGAAGAGGCCAUGGAAUAAAUUAGUCAGGAUAGUGUGUAUGUAAUGCCUGAAUCUACGUGCUGGAUUUAUGUAGAGAGUUGGUUAUCAUCGAUUCUCCUAAGUAAAGAGAAGUCCAUGCCGCUUUCUCACACCA